AGAAAAUGGAAACAGAAGAGACCCCACUAGAUGAGUUGAGCUACAGACUUGUGAGUGUAGUGAGUCAUGUUGGUGAAAAUACAUCUUCAGGUAUGUACACACAGGCAAAAAUCUCACAUCUUGUGCAAGUAUGCCAACAAGCCGUCAACAAGUUGUGUUCGCACUGCUUGUCCCAAGUUGUCAACAAGUUUUGAACAAGCUGUUAACAAGUUGUAACAAGCUUGAUGGCAUUAUCAGACUUGUUACAAGGUUGUUCUAACAAGUUCGAUACAGUCAUGAUAUAACAAGAAUGUUACAAGUUUGACGGCACAAGGUUGUAACAAUAUUGUUAUAUCAUGACUGUAUCGGACUUGUUGGAACAACCUUGCAACAACUGUCCUUGCGCUUAGGAGAGCAAUGUGUAUGCGCUAUAUAAGUAUCAUUAUCAUUAUGAUAUCAACAAGCUUGUUACAAGUUGUUAACAGCUUGUCCCAUACUGUUUACAACUUGAGACACGCAGUGCGAACACAACUUGUUGAUGGCUUGUUGACAGACAUGCUACAAGAUGUGAGAUUUUUGCGUGUGUAGUCGAUACACGUAAAAAUCUCACAUCUUGUAGCAAGUCUGUCAACAAGUUGUGCUCGUACUGCUUCUCCCUAGUUGGUAACAAAUAUGGAAGAAGCUGUUAACAACUUGUAACAAACUUGUUACAAGUAUGACUUGUCUUGUCAACAAGCUUGUUACAAGUUGUUCCAACAAGUGUGACUUGUCUUGUUGUCAACAAGCUUGUUACAAGUUGUUCCAACAAGUGUGAUUUGUCUUGUUGUCAACAAGCUUGUUACAAGUUGUUCCAACAAGUGUGACUUGUCUUGUUGUCAACAAGCUUGUUACAAGUUGUUCCAACAAGUGUGACUUGUCUUGUUGUCAACAAGCUUGUUACAAGUUGUUCCAACAAGUGUGAUUUGUCUUGUUGUCAACAAACUUGUUACAAGUUGUUCCAACAAGUAUGACUUGUCUUGUUGUCAACAAGCUUGUUACAAGUUGUUCCAACAAGUGUGACUUGUCUUGUUGUCAACAAGCUUGUUACAAGUUGUUCCAACAAGUGUGAUUUGUCUUGUUGUCAACAAGCUUGUUACAAUUUGUUCCAACAAGUGUGAUUUAUCUUGUUGUUGACAAGCUUGUUACAAGUUGUUCCAACAAGUGUGAUUUGUCUUGUUGUCAACAAGCUUGUUGCAAGUUGUUGCUACUGGUCCGCAAGUACAAGACAGCAAGUUGUAACAAGCUUGAUACCAACCAACAAGCUUGUUACAAGUUGUUCCAACAAGUGUGAUUUGUCUUGUUGUCAACAAGCUUGAUACAAGUUGUUCCAACAAGUGUGACUUGUCUUGUUGUCAACAAGCUUGUUACAAGUUGUUCCAACAAGUGUGAUUUGUCUUGUUGUCAGCAAGCUUGUUACAAGUUGUUCCAACAAGUGUGAUUUGUCUUGUUGUCAACAAGCUUGAUACAAGUUGUUCCAACAAGUGUGAUUUGUCUUGUUGUCAGCAAGCUUGUUACAAGUUGUUCCAACAAGUGUGAUUUGUCUUGUUGUCAACAAGCUUGAUACAAGUUGUUCCAACAAGUGUGUUUUGUCUUGUUGUCAACAAGCUUGCUACAAGUUGUUCCAACAAGUGUGAUUUGUCUUGUUGUCAGCAAGCUUGUUACAAGUUGUUCCAACAAGUGUGAUUUGUCUUGUUGUCAGCAAGCUUGUUACAAGUUGUUCCAACAAGUGUGAUUUGUCGUGUUGUCAACAAGCUUGAUACAAGUUGUUCCAACAAGUGUGAUUUGUCUUGUUGUCAACAAGCUUGCUACAAGUUGUUCCAACAAGUAUGAUUUGUCUUGUUGUCAACAAGCUUGUUACAAGUUGUUCCAACAAGUGUGAUUUGUCUUGUUGUCAGCAAGCUUGUUACAAGUUGUUCCAACAAGUGUGAUUUGUCUUGUUGUCAACAAGCUUGAUACAAGUUGUUCCAACAAGUAUGAUUUGUCUUGUUGUCAACAAGCUUGUUACAAGUUGUUCCAACAAGUGUGAUUUAUCUUGUUGUCAACAAGCUUGUUACAAGUUGUUCCAACAAGUGUGAUUUAUCUUGUUGUCAACAAGCUUGUUACAAGUUGUUCCAACAAGUGUGAUUUGUCUUGUUGUCAACAAGCUUGUUACAAAUUGUUCCAACAAGUAUCAUUUGUCUUGUUGUCAACAAGCUUGUUACAAGUUGUUCCAACAAGUAUGAUUUAUCUUGUUGUUGACAAACUUGUUGCAAGUUGUUCCAACAAGUAUGAUUUAUCUUGUUGUUGACAGCUUGUUACAAAUUGUUCCAACAAGUAUGAUUUAUCUUGUUGUCAACAAGCUUGUUACAAAUUGUUCCAACAAGUAUGAUUUAUCUUGUUGUUGACAAGCUUGUUACAAGUUGUUCCAACAAGUGUGAUUUGUCUUGUUGUCAACAAGCUUGUUACAAGUUUGGAAAACAAGUGUGAUUUGUCUUGUUGUCAACAAGCUUGUUACAAGUUGUUCCAACAAGUGUGAUUUGUCUUGUUGUCAACAAGCUUGUUACAAGUUGUUCCAACAAGUGUGAUUUGUCUUGUUGUCGACAAGCUUGUUACAAGUUGUUCCAACAAGUGUUAUUUGUCUUGUUGUCAACAAGCUUGGUACAAGUUGUUCCAACAAGUGUUGUGAUUUGUCUUGUUGUCAACAAGCUUGUUACAAGUUGUUCCAACAAGUGUUGUGAUUUGUCUUGUUGUCAACAAGCUUGUUACAAGUUGUUCCAACAAGUGUGAUUUAUCUUGUUGUCAACAAGCUUGUUACAAGUUGUUCCAACAAGUGUGAUUUGUCUUGUUGUCAACAAGCUUGUUACAAGUUGUUCCAACAAGUGUGAUUUGUCUUGUUGUUAACAAGCUUGUUGCAAGUUGUUGCUACUGGUCCGCAAGUACAAGACAGCAAGUUGUAACAAGCUUGAUACCAACCAACAAGCUUGUUACAACUUGAUAAAAUAACAAGCUUGUCACAACUGCGCGCUGCGAGCUUGUUCCGUCAACAAGUUGUGAGAUUUUUACGUCUAUAGUGAUAGUUGUUGGGUAACAAGUCUGCUUACAAGCCGUCAACAAGUUGUGUUUGCACAGCUUGUCCUUAGUUGACAACAAGUUUUGAACAAGCUGUUAACAACUUGUAACAACCUUGUUGAUAUUAUCAGACUUGUUGCAAGGUUGUUCCAACAAGUCCGAUACAGUCAUGAUAUAACAAUAUAGUUACAACGUUGUGUCGCCUGCUUUAUAACAUUGUUAUAUCAUGUCUGUAUCAGACUUAUUAGAAAAACCUUGCAACAAGUCUGAUAAUGCCAUCAAGUUUGUUAUACAAGUUGUUAACAGCUUGUUCCAAAGUUGUUGCAACUACACAUGUAAAACGCACAACUUGUAACAAGUCUGCAAACAAGUUGUUACAAGUCUGUUCACAAGCUGUCGACAAGUUGUCUUUGCACUGCUUGUUCCCAGUUGUUGUAACAAGUUUGGAACAAGCUGUUAACAACUUGUAACAAGCUUGAUGGCACUAUCAGACUUGUUACAAAGUUGUUUUAACAAGUCUGAUACAGUCAUGAUAUAACAAGAAUGUUACAAGGUUGACGACACAAGAUUGUAACAACAUUGUUGUAUCAUGACUGCAUUGGACGUGUUGGAACAACCUUGCAACAAGUCUGGUAAUGUCAACAACAAUGUUACAGUUUGUUAACGGCUUGUUCCAAACUUGUUGACAACUUGUGACAAGCAGUGCGAACACAACUUGUCGACAGCUUGUGAAGUUCACAGGUUUGCAGAGCCGUAACAAAUUGUGCGUUUUUACGUGAGACAACCUUGUUGAUAUUAUCAGACUAGUUCCAGGUUCCAACAAGUCCGAUACAGUCAUGAUACAACGAUAUAUCAUAUCUGUAUCAGACUUGUUAGAACAACCAUGUAACAAGUCUGAUAAUGCCACCAAGUUUGUUACAAGUUCAAUCAUUUCGCUGAACUUAAUUUUGCAGGCCACUACAUCAGUGAUGUGUAUGAUGUGGAAACAGAUCAAUGGACUCGAUACGAUGAUAUCACUGCAAAAAAGGUAGUCAUACACAUGCAGUAUACUGCAGACAGACACCAUAUAUUUAUCUAUUCUGAACUGUUCUCCCAUAGAGGUCCAGUAUUUAUAAGACCCUCAUUUUUUGUGCAAGUUAGAAUUAUGAACUAAAUUCAUUUUAUUUAUACUCGAAAGCUCUAUUAAUUCUAGACUGUUGUCCCUAGAGGUCCAGCAUAAUAAGGUCCUCGUUUUUUUUUUGUUUUUGGGAGGAAAUAUUCCGAACGAAAUAAACUUUAUUUAUACUGGAAAGCUCUAUCAAUUAAUUCCCGGUGGAAUAAUGAAAUAAAUAGAUUUUAUUUAUACUGGAGGCCCUAGAGGUCCAGUAUAACACCCUCAUUUUUGUUUGUUCAGAUGGAAUUCUGAACUAAAUAACUUUAUGCUGGGCAGUUUUAUCAAUUGUAAACUGUUGUCCCUAUACUAUUGUAAACUGCGGUCCAUUCAAUAAGAGCCACUUCUUAUAUUUUGUCUUUUUUCCUCUAAGAUCAAAGAAUAUGUUGCAAGACACGAAAAGAAAUUUGAUGGUUAUACCUAUUUCUACAUGCACAAGAAAGAAUGAGAAGCCUUAGUUAACUUUCUUUAUACAUUCCAUGCAUAUUUUUGCAAUUUUUGGUUCCCAUUUUGUGGUCCAUAAUCCAAUUGUGAUCUACCACAGCAUCUCAAGUCAUGUCCGUGACGUUCUAAUGUAGGAUUAUAGGAUCACGUUUAACGA